rnacentral:lncRNA from 14 species
CUGGCACGUAGACUUGCAGACUGGAGAUGCCCUGGAAUUGAACUCACUGCCCCAUGUUUGCAGAACAGUUAAGAAAAAACAUACCUGGAGAACCUUACUAGGAAGAUUUUGAGGGCUGAAAGUUAUGGCUGCUUUGAGCUCUCAAGGGAACUGAUGCCUGGGAUCCUAAGGAUCUGAAUACAUGGAGAAGGACAAAGAAAUUUCCAAUCUGAGGUCUUUGGAUCCUUAAGCCAAUAGAACAGAAUAGAGAGGAGAGCUGCUAACCAAACACUUCGGUCUUCUUGUCUAAAGAUCUCAACUUAUGGAGUCCAUGACCCUGGAUUUGCAUGGGUGGAUGUUCUGGGCCAUUGCUACAUCAUGGAUGUUUUCCCGGCCUGUGGGUUGUGUGGGGACCUGAUUUGAUGCUGAACCACGGAUUCCAAGUCCAAGACAAAGAGAGCUCUCCCAGCAAAACUCCUGAAGUACAGCAGAAGAAUAAAGGGAAUAAAAAGGAAGCCAAAAGACAGAAAAUACAGAAAGGAAGGGAAGAAAAAAAGCAGAGACAACAGGCUGAGUAUCUAAGAGUGGAAGGAGGGAAGGAAUGAAAAAGAGGGAGUAAUGGAAGUGAGAGUAGGGUAGAGAGUAUGAUGAAUUGAAAGGACUGACAUAUUUUUGACCUCUAGAUGGCAUUUCUCGAGACCCUGAAGCUCAUGAACAAAGUCCAGAAUCUCAUGGGCACUGGCUGAUUCCAAGAAAUGAGAUAUAUAUGCAGAAAGGUAUCUAAAAAACAGGUCAGAGGCAAUUGGGGGAGAUUCCUAACCUUGAUCAGCAAGUUACCCACAUAUCUGUGCCCCAGUUGAUGAAUCCGAAAUAGUGUUCCUCAUCACUGUGCAAACAUGGCCGCCUCGAGAUCACAAAGCCCAUAUUCGCAAGUAGCUGAAUUUAUUACUCAGAGAAGCAAGCUGGCUAACCGCAGAACCUGCCAGUUGGCUCAAGCUACCUUCACUUUAAUAUUUGAACCAGAAGCUGAAGCACUCCUCACCCACUACCAGACUUGCCAAGGAAAAGCUUAUGGAGGUGUUGAUAAGAACAGCAAAGCAAUUCCACUGGAUGGCAGUGUAGUAUCAAGAAUGUGAAGAUACCCUUCUUACAGGUUCUCUCCCUCCGCCCUUCUUGGAGUGAAAAAAAAAAAAAAAACUGAAACAGUUCAACAUAACACUUGACUCUGAUAUAUGUUAGAUAGAAAUUGGUUCCUUAUGUCUACAGUACCUAUUAUCACUGAUCUGACCUGGGUGGUCUCUGUUUCAGUGUAUUAAGAUAUUCUCCCACAAGGACAGGGACCAUCCUCAAGGCAUAAGGGCCAAACAGGAAAACCCAAUGAGGAUCCCUUCCCCUGGAUGCAAGGGUCAGGAGAAGCCAUAGAAACAAACUUCUAGCCAGAGACUUAGUCUGGGGCACAGUACAGCACCAUCAGUUCAGCACUCGAGUUCGCACUAAAUUCGGAACUGCAAAGCUAGAAAGAAGAGUCAGAAGACGCAAUACAUAUAAAUUCUUCAGAAGAAACGGGACCUUGGGCUGAGUACAAGUCCCUCCUGUGCUACCAAGAUAUAUCUAUUCUUCAGUCCUUUGCCCCCAGACAUUUUGAGAGAAAACACACUGAAUUAUUGGUGGGAACAUUAAGAACAGAUCACUUGCUGACAGUAUUGAACCAAGAAGCCAAGGUACCCAUCUUUCAGGUUCUCUCCCUCCACCCUUCUUUGAUAAACAACAACAACAACAACACCACACACACACACACACACACACACACACACACACACACACACACACACACAUUUUGCCAAUAAAUCCCAAGUUGACUGACCUUAAUCAUGGCCUCCUUUGGCCAGAGAUGGGCUUUGGAGCUUCACUGUAUACAUACUGUCUCGGAGGUCACAGGCCACACAAGUUCCUCAUUCCCAGUCCAACACAAGAACGUGGCAUGCCCUCAGAAACAUACAGGAAAACUAAGAGCAAUGGUCAAAAGAAGGUCUACAAAUACAUUCUUAGGCAGAAACUUGACCUUGGGCAACAUAUGACUCACUCACAUCUUUCCAGAAAUAAUCUGACUGGCCCAUAUGUACAUAACUUAUAACUGGAAUUUUGUCAGUGAGUGCCAAGGUAAACCAUAGAGUGUUCAGUCCUCCCACGGGGAAGAAGAGAUUGUAUAGCCAUUCGACAACCAAGCUUCUAGUUCAAGGCUACCUGAUUCUUCUCCCUACACAUACAUACCAGGCUCCUGACAGGAAAAGUUGGAAGGACAAAUAAGGAAGACAGUUGGAACAAUAGAGACAACCAGCUAUUCAAACAGAGUCAAGGGCCAGUGAUACAUUCAAACCUAGAAGAAGGAGAUGCCAGGUUGUAGUGAAGAAGAAAAAAAAAAAAAAAAACCACACACAAACACACAGAUGCUUUCCUUUUUGAGUGCCCUAGUUCCUUUUUUACAAACCAGAGUCAAAAUAAAAACUACAACUGUCACCCAAACUCUUUGGUCUUCUUGUCCAGAGAACCCAACCUGUGCAUUCCCAGACCUUGUCUGUACUUCCUGUCAGCCAUAUUGUAAAGUUCAUGUGAGUUUUUUGUGUUAAGUCACUUUAUCCUCUAAUGAAACAUUGGGCUUCUAGAAUAUUCACCUGGGAACUAUGUCAAAGAACUGUUAGCCCUACAGAUACUACGUCAGAGUAAAAGGUUGGGAAAAAAGGUCUUCCAAGCAAAUGGUCCCAAGAAACAAGCUGGAGUUGCCAUCCUAAUAUCCAAUAAAAUACACUUUCAACCAAAAGUUAUCAAGCAAGAUCAUCAAGAAUAAAAAUCCACCAUGAGAAAGUCUCAAUUCUGAACAUCUAUACCCCAAAUGCAUGUGCUCCCACAUUCAUAAACUUUACUAAAGCUCAAAACACACAUUGAACCCUACACAAUAAUAGAGACUUAGUCACCCCACUCUCGCAGAACACUGAAACACAAGCUAAACAGAGACACAGUGAAACUAAUAGAGGUCAUGAACCAAAUGGAUUUAACAGAUUCUUUUUUCUUUUCUUUUUUUUUUUCCGGAGCUGGGGACCAAACCCAGAACCUUGCGCUUGCUAGGCAAGCGCUCUACCACUGAGCUAAAUCCCCAACCCUGAUUUAGCAGAUAUUUACAGAACAUUUCACCCUAAAACAAAAGAAUGCACCACUUUUGCAACGCCUCAUGGUACCUUCUCCACAGCUGACCAUGUAAUUGGUCACAAAACAGGCCUCAAAAGAUACAAGAAGGUUGAAAUAACCCCAUGUAUCCAAUCAGAUCACCAUGACCUAAGGAUGGUCUUCAAUAACAACAAAAACAACAGACAACCCACAUACCGAUGGAAUCUGAACAACUCUCUAAUCAAUGAUAAAUUGGUCAGAGAGGAAAUAAAGAAGAAAAAAAGACUUCCUGGAAUUCAAUGAAAAGGAAGACACAACAUACCCAAACUUAUGGGACACAACGAAAGCAGUGCUAAGAGGAAAAUUCAUAGCACUAAGUGCCCUGGUGAAGAAACUAGAGAGUUCGUACACUAUCAAUUUAGAAGCAUGCCUGAAAGCUCUAGAACAAAAAGAAGCAAACACACCCAAGAGGAAAAGACAGGAACGAGUCCAACUCAGGGCAGAAAUCAACCAAAUAGAAACAAAGAGGUCUAUAGAAAGAAUCAGCAAAACCAAAAGCUGGUUCUUUGAAUCAGCAAGAUAGAUAAACUGUUAGUAUAACUAAAGGGCCCAGAGGCAGUGUCCAAAUUAACAAAAUCAGAAAUGAAAAGGGAGACAUAACAAUAGAAACAGAGGAAAUUAAAAAAUCAUCAGAUCCUACUUUCAAAAGCCUAUACUCAACAAAACUGGAAAAUCUAGAUGAAAUGGCUUUCUAGACAGAUACCACAUUCCAAAAUUAAAUCAAGAUCAGGUAAACUUUCUAAACAGGCAUAUAUUCCCUAAGGAAAUAGAACUCAUUAAAAACCUCCCAACCAAAAUAAUCUCAGGGUCAGAUGGCUUUAAUGUAGAAUUCUACCAGACCUUCAAAGAAGACUUAAGACCAAUAUUCCUCAAACUAUUCCAUAAAAUAGAAAUGGAAGGAACACUAUGCAAUUCAUUCUAUAAAGCCACAAUUACUCUGAUACCUAAAACACACAAGGACACCACAGAAAAGAAUAACUUCAGACCAGUUUUGCUUAUGAAUAUCGAUGCAAAAAUACUCAAUAAAAUUCUUGCAAACUGAAUCCAAGAACACAUAAAAGCCAUCAAUCACGAUGAUAAAGUAGACUUCAGCCAAGGGUAUGCAAUUUU